GACGAACGCUGGCGGCGUGCUUAACACAUGCAAGUCGAACGGAAAGGCCUUGCUUUUGUGGGGUGCUCGAGUGGCGAACGGGUGAGAAACACGUGAGUAACCUGUCCUUGACUAUGGGAUAACUUCAGGAAACCGGGGCUCAUAUCCGAUAGGAGCUCCUGCUCCAGGGGGGUGGUUGGCAAGCUCCGGCGGUUGGGGAUAUACUGGCGGCUUAUCAGCUUGUUGGUGGGGUAGUGGCUGACCACGGUUUUGACGGGUAGUCGGCCUUGGAAGUUGGACAGCCACAAUAGGACUACGGUAGGGACCAGUCUGCAACGGGGGGCAGCAGUGGGGAAUAUUGCACAGUGAGCGGGAGCGUGAGGCGACAGCGCCGGGUGCGGGAUGACGGCCUUCAGGUUGUGAACAGCUUUCGCCUGUGACGGAGCGGGAGUGACGGUAAUGGAUAAAGAAGCACCGGCUAACUACGUG
rnacentral:rRNA from 1 species